GCAGGACCAGAACGUGCUUCUUCUCAGCAUGCCGCGUGUGUGAUGAAGGCCUUCGGGUUGUAAGUACUUUCAUCGGGGAGGAAGGCGUUGAGGUUAAUAACCUCGGCGAUUGACGUUUCCCGCACAAGAAGCACCGGCUAACUCCGUGCCAGCAGCCGCGGUAAUACCGGAGCCAGCCGCCC
rnacentral:rRNA from 1 species